UGUAAUUUAAUCAGAAUGUUUGAAAUGUUUGUUUUGGGUUCAAAAUGUUGAAUCAUUUCCAAUUUAGUAAGAAUGUUGGAAUGUUUGGACUUUUUUGUAUUUUUUGGACUAGACAUUUAGUCAGAAUGUUGGAAUGUCAGGUUGUGAUGUCGUUCCUGAUUUCCCGGAUGCUUGCCGAAUGGGUUUGGUGCCAAAUGAUUGUAUGCUGGCCGCUAG
rnacentral:lncRNA from 1 species